rnacentral:rRNA from 1 species
CUUGGUCAUUUAGAGGAAGUAAAAGUCGUAACAAGGUUUCCGUAGGUGAACCUGCGGAAGGAUCAUUAGUGAACGCCCUCACGGGCUUAUAACUAUUCCAAACCUCUGUGAACCGUGCCCUUCGGGGCUAUUUUACAAACAUGGUGUAAUGAACGUCAUAUAUCUUAACAAAACAAAACUUUCAACAACGGAUCUCUUGGCUCUCGCAUCGAUGAAGAACGCAGCGAAAUGCGAUAAGUAAUGUGAAUUGCAGAAUUCAGUGAAUCAUCGAAUCUUUGAACGCACCUUGCGCCCUCUGGUAUUCCGGAGGGCAUGCCUGUUUGAGUGUCAUGUAGACUCAAUCCCUCGGGUUUCCGAGGAGAUUGGACUUGGGUGUUGCCGCUCUGCCGGCUCGCCUUAAAAGACUUAGCGGGAUAGCACCGUAGUCGGCGUAAUAAGUUUCGUCGGUGAAGGUUGUGAUGACUGCUUACAAUCGCCCUCGGGCAAUUUUUGACUCUGACCUCAAAUCAGGUAGGACUACCCGCUGAACUUAAGCAUAUCAAUAAGCGGAGGA